GAUUUCUGGUGUGGUGCGCUUGGUCCGCCGCCGUCAGGCGUGUGUGUACCGACGCGUGCCUACCAUCCUUUCCGGAGAGCCCCGCUGCCCUUCACUGGGUGGGCGGUGUGCCAUCCGGAUCGUUUACUUUGAAAAAAUUAGAGUGUUUAAAGCAGGCUGACGCUUGAAUACAUUAGCAUGGAAUAAUAAUUUAGGACUUCGGUUCUAUUUUGUUGGUUUCUAGGACUGAAGUAAUGAUUGAUAGGGAUAGUUGGGGGUGCUAGUAUUCAGCGGCCAGAGGUGAAAUUCUCGGAUUCGCUGAAGACUAACUUAUGCGAAAGCAUU
rnacentral:rRNA from 1 species